rnacentral:rRNA from 1 species
AUGAACGCUGGCGGCGUGCCAAAUACAUGCAAGUCGAGCGAACAGAUGAGGAGCUUGCUCCUCUGACGUUAGCGGCGGACGGGUGAGUAACACGUGGAUAACCUACCUAUAAGACUGGGAUAACUUCGGGAAACCGGAGCUAAUACCGGAUAAUAUAUUGAACCGCAUGGUUCAAUAGUGAAAGACGGUUUUGCUGUCACUUAUAGAUGGAUCCGCGCCGCAUUAGCUAGUUGGUAAGGUAACGGCUUACCAAGGCAACGAUGCGUAGCCGACCUGAGAGGGUGAUCGGCCACACUGGAACUGAGACACGGUCCAGACUCCUACGGGAGGCAGCAGUAGGGAAUCUUCCGCAAUGGGCGAAAGCCUGACGGAGCAACGCCGCGUGAGUGAUGAAGGUCUUCGGAUCGUAAAACUCUGUUAUUAGGGAAGAACAAAUGUGUAAGUAACUAUGCACGUCUUGACGGUACCUAAUCAGAAAGCCACGGCUAACUACGUG